AAGUCGUAACAAGGUCUCCGUUGGUGAACCAGCGGAGGGAUCAUUACCGAGUUUACAACUCCCAAACCCCUGUGAACAUACCUUUAUGUUGCCUCGGCGGAUCAGUCUGUCCUUCGGGACGGCCCGCCGCAGGACCCUAAACUCUGUUUUUAGUGGAACUUCUGAGUAAAAAAACAAAUAAAUCAAAACUUUCAACAACGGAUCUCUUGGUUCUG
rnacentral:misc_RNA from 1 species